rnacentral:rRNA from 1 species
GAUGAACGCUGGCGGCGUGCCUAACACAUGCAAGUCGAACGUGAGGGAAUAGCAAUAUUCUUAAAAGUGGCGCACGGGUGAGUAAGACGUAGGUGACCUGCCCUGGAGUGGGGGAUAACAGUUGGAAACGGCUGCUAAUACCGCAUGAUACCGAGACACUGGGAAGUGACUUGGUGAAAACUCUGGUGCUUCAGGAGGGGCCUGCGGCCGAUUAGCUAGUUGGCGGGGUAAGAGCCCACCAAGGCGACGAUCGGUAGCUGGUCUGAGAGGACGAUCAGCCACACGGGAACUGAGACACGGUCCCGACUCCUACGGGUGGCAG